rnacentral:rRNA from 1 species
GAUGAACGCUGGCGGCGUGCCUAAUACAUGCAAGUCGAGCGAACGGACGAGAAGCUUGCUUCUCUGAUGUUAGCGGCGGACGGGUGAGUAACACGUGGAUAACCUACCUAUAAGACUGGGAUAACUUCGGGAAACCGGAGCUAAUACCGGAUAAUAUUUUGAACCGCAUGGUUCAAAAGUGAAAGACGGUCUUGCUGUCACUUAUAGAUGGAUCCGCGCUGCAUUAGCUAGUUGGUAAGGUAACGGCUUACCAAGGCAACGAUGCAUAGCCGACCUGAGAGGGUGAUCGGCCACACUGGAACUGAGACACGGUCCAGACACCUACGGGAGGCAGCAGUAGGGAAUCUUCCGCAAUGGGCGAAAGCCUGGCGGAGCAACGCCGCGUGAGUGAUGUAGGUCUUCGGAUCGUAAAACUCUGUUAUUAGGGAAGAACAUAUGUGUAAGUAACUGUGCACAUCUUGACGGUACCUAAUCAGAAAGCCACGGCUAACUACGUG